AUUUAUUUGAUAAUGCUAGCAACCUCCUCACUAAUCUGUUGAGUGGUGGGAGAAUUGGGUCAAUGCCUAUUGCAGAAGGGGCAGUGACUGACCUUUUCGACCGCCCACUUUUUUUCUCAUUGUAUGAUUGGUUCCUAAAGUAUGGAUCAGUCUAUAAACUUGCUUUUGGACCAAAGGCAUUUGUUGUUGUAUCAGAUCCCAUUGUUGCUCGGCAUAUUCUUCGUGAGAAUGCAUUUUCUUAUGACAAGGGGGUCCUUGCUGAAAUCUUGGAACCAAUCAUGGGAAAAGGGCUGAUACCUGCUGACCUUGAUACUUGGAAACAGAGAAGAAGAGUUAUUGCCCCUGGAUUCCACUCAUCAUACCUAGAAGCUAUGGCUAAAGUAUUCACUGAAUGUGCUGAUAGAACAAUGUUGAAAUUUGAUAAGCUUAUUGAACAAGAAGAGUCAGGAGGAGGGAAGCUAAUUGAGUUGGAUCUCGAGACAGAAUUCUCAAAUUUAGCACUAGAUAUUAUUGGGCUUGGUGUUUUCAAUUAUGACUUCG
rnacentral:misc_RNA from 1 species